GACGAACGCUGGCGGCGUGCCUAAUACAUGCAAGUCGAGCGCAGGAAACUGACGGAACUCUUCGGAGGGAAGGCAGUGGAAUGAGCGGCGGACGGGUGAGUAACACGUAAGGAACCUGCCUCAAGGAUUGGGAUAACUCCGAGAAAUCGGAGCUAAUACCGGAUAGUUCAACGGACCGCAUGGUCCGCUGAUGAAAGGCGCUCCGGCGUCACCUUGAGAUGGCCUUGCGGUGCAUUAGCUAGUUGGUGGGGUAACGGCCCACCAAGGCGACGAUGCAUAGCCGCGCUGAGAGGGUGAUCGGCCACACUGGGACGGAGACACGGCCCAGACUCCUACGGGAGGCAGCAGUAGGGAAUCUUCCACAAUGGACGAAAGUCUGAUGGAGCAACGCCGCGUGAGUGAUGAAGGUUUUCGGAUCGUAAAACUCUGUUGUAAGGGAAGAACACGUACGAGAGGGAAUGCUCGUACCUUGACGGUACCUUACGAGAAAGCCACGGCUAACUACGUGCCAGCCGCCGCCGUAACAC
rnacentral:rRNA from 1 species